UAGGUGUAAGGUAUGUGUAAACACUAUCCGGUUAGAAAUCAGGAUAGUGUCAACUGUCAACUUGUGAUACAUUACCUCUUCUAAUCAUACACAAACCUAAUAUCACAUUGUCAACUUGUGAUUUACUUACCAAAAGAUGUCAGUGAGGAUGCAGAUACUCUGUAAUCAAAGUUCAACAUGCUGGACAAACUGCUAUCUGGUAGCACAAAUGUCAAUAAUCCAACAUUAGAACACAUCCUAAUCGUCCCCGGCCAAAGGGUAUUUCAACAAGGUAGAACAAAAAGAAAAACAUUUACGAUUGGGUAGUGACGACUGUAUAGUUUGAAACUCGAAGCUGAUAGGAAAAACUGCAUAAAUAUUGAGGCAUAACAUUCUUCAGAAAGCAUUUCAACUUCUUGAGAUAAAAGUUUUAAGCAAAC
rnacentral:lncRNA from 1 species